rnacentral:rRNA from 1 species
ACGGGAGGCAGCAGUGGGGAAUAUUGGACAAUGGGGGAAACCCUGAUCCAGCGACGCCGCGUGAGUGAAGAAGUAUUUCGGUAUGUAAAGCUCUAUCAGCAGGGAAGAUAAUGACGGUACCUGACUAAGAAGCCCCGGCUAACUACGUGCCAGCAGCCGCGGUAAUACGUAGGGGACAAGCGUUAUCCGGAUUUACUGGGUGUAAAGGGUGCGCAGGCGGCAAAGUAAGUCAGAAGUGAAAGCCCGUGGCUCAACUGCGGGACUGCUUUUGAAACUGCUAAGCUAGAGUACUGGAGGGGUAAGCGGAAUUCCUAGUGUAGCGGUGAAAUGCGUAGAUAUUAGGAAGAACACCGGAGGCGAAGGCGGCUUACUGGACAGAAACUGACGCUCAGGCACGAAGGCGUGGGGAGCAAACAGGAUUAGAUACCCUGGUA